GUCCUCCCACCUUGGCCUCCCAAGUGCAGAGAUUACAGACUCCCAGAGGCACUGACUGUCCCCUGGCUGGCAUGUGCUCUGCAGCUAUUUUUCACAUGGCACAACCCAUCACCCAACAUACUGUCAACUCCACGGUGUCUUGGGAUUGCAAGUUAUAUGAUUUUUGCCAACCCCCUUUCCCACAACUUUACAAGAAGUAGGAUUUUAUGAUAUGCCUGUGGAAAAUGAGAAUCAUAUUGUUUCUUUUCAUAUUGAUGACUUUCUCCAUAAUAAAAUUAUGAGCCUUUGCAGCCAUA